GCAGAAGCCAUAAAUAUUUUACGGUUUCCAACAGAUUAUGGCAACUUUUAUAGCAAUAAGUAUUAAUGACAAUAACAUGAAAACGACUGAAGAAAAACUUGUGCUAAGUACUUAGCAUCUUUCUUUAUUAUUCUUUAUUAUGUAGAGGAAAGUAUUAUCUCGAUACAUCUGAUCUAGGGCUAUCCUGAGCAAAAUGAAGCACCACAGUUAUGCCAUUUCUUUCUUCAAUCACCGUUAGAGGUGGAUUUGUCCCUGAAAAUUAAUUGGCAUUAAUUUUUUUUUAAACUACGCACAUGCACAUGCGUAAACGUGUACAUAGGUACGCACACAUGCAAGCGUGUACACGAUGAUCUACCUAAAACAAAACACAGAAAUAGAUUAAAAAUUAAACUCAAUAGGCAAAAUGUUUCAGACAAAAGUUGUAUGGCUUAAAUGAUGGCUUGAUGAGGCAUAAAUAAUGAUGAAAUCAAUUUAAAGAAAAAAAAUUUUUUUUUAAA